UACGGAGGGUGCAAGCGUUGUUCGGAUUUACUGGGCGUAAAGCGCGCGCAGGUGGGUGAACAAGUCGGAAGUGAAAUCUUGAGGCUCAACCUCGAGGCUGCUCCCGAAACUGUUCGCCUAGGGACUGGUAGAGGCUGGUAGAAUUCCCGGUGUAGCGGUGGAAUGCGUAGAGAUCGGGAAGAAUACCUGUGGCGAAGGCGGCCAGCUGGCCAGAUCCGACACUGAGGCGCGAAAGCGUGGGGAGCAAACAGGG
rnacentral:rRNA from 1 species